UACGCAUUCCGAUUGGAGCAGACGCACGAUUCCCACGUCCACGUGAGCCAGCUUCCGGUCUUCUGCUGGCGGGAAAGCAAGGAAACUACGUGUAAUUUGCGAGUCAAACAUCAUGAUUGUGUAAUAUUUAGUGGAAGAGAUGGCAGUAUACAUGUUUAAGGAGUGAGGUCACUCAUCAGCAGAUAUAUACAUACAGGUUCUCCAGUUUCAAGAUGAAUUCUGGCAUUUUCAAGUUCAUUGAAGCAAGUCUCAGACAGACAUAGGCAUGAUUGUUGAGAGUUUUAACAGGGGUCCACUUGAUUGCCCAGUAUGUGACCAGCACUUGAUUAGCUUAUCAAGAUUUGGAAGAACAUGUUCCCACCAAUGGCAAAAGUUGAAAAGACCAAAAAAAGAGGCACUUAUUAUUUCAAUGAAAAGCUACCAAAGAAGAAAUAGAAACCGAGGAGGCAGAGUGAAAAUUCCAAGCAAAGAACCUAAAGAAAAGAUUGAGUGAAAAGAAAAGGAAGCUGCAGUAUGUGAAGAAGCGAAGUAGAAAAAUUAAGGUUCAAGGCUGAAACCUACAAAAAGCAUAGAAACAAAAUGGAAGUUACUGACUGAUAAGCCCUUCAGGCUGUUGCUUUGUAGAUUUUGUUACUAGGUUUGCUAAUAGGCAAUACUUUAAAGGAACGAUUAAUACUUGGAUAGACUUUCAAGGAGAGAAAUAAUUUAAAGAACGAUAAUAAUUUUCCACGAUUUAGUCCAAACUGCAAAGAGGAUGGCUUCAUCCAUUGGACAAAAGUUAGACUGAGCUGAAUGUCAUGCAAGGUGAUAAUGGAAGAUUAGAAGAGUUUUGGAUGACUCAAGGAGGAACUUUAU